rnacentral:rRNA from 1 species
GACGUAGGGCGCGAGCGUUGUCCGGAUUUAUUGGGCGUAAAGAGCUCGUAGGCGGCUUGUUGCGUCAGCUGUGAAAACCCGCAGCUCAACUGUGGGCUUGCAGCUGAUACGGGCAGGCUUGAGUUCGGUAGGGGAGACUGGAAUUCCUGGUGUAGCGGUGAAAUGCGCAGAUAUCAGGAGGAACACCGGUGGCGAAGGCGAAUCCCUGGAAAAUACCUGACACUGAGGCACGGAAGCUAGGGGAGCAAACAGG